AAUCUUGGUCAAUGGGGGAAACCCUGAUCCAGCCAUCCCGCUCGUCAGAUGAAAGCCUUCGGGUUGCAAAUUACUUUUGGCAGAGAAGAAAAGGUAUCUCCUAAUACUACAUACUGCUCACUGUAUCGGCAGUAUAAGCCACGGCUACCUACGUGCCAGUAGCCGCGGUAAUACGUAGGGUGCAAGUGUUAAUCGGAAUUACUGGGCGUAAAGCGGGUGUAGGCGGUUCAGAAAGAAAGAUGUGAGAUCCCAGGGCUCAACCUUGGAACUGCAUUUUUAACUGCCGAGCUAGAGUAUGUCAGAGGGGGGUAGGAUUCCACGUGUAGCAGUGAAGUGCGUAGAUAUGUGGAGGAAUACCGAUGGCGAAGGCAGCCCCCUGGGAUAAUACUGACGCUCAGACACGAAGGCGUGGGGAGCAAACA
rnacentral:rRNA from 1 species